GGAGAGGUGCCGGAGCGGCUUAACGGGCACGCCUGGAAAGCGUGAGUACUCUUAACGGAGUACCGGGGGUUCAAAUCCCCCCCUCUCCGCCA
rnacentral:tRNA from 1 species